AAGAGCUCGAUGGAGGGGGAUAACUACUGGAAACGGUAGCUAAUACCGCAUAACGUCGCAAGACCAAAGAGGGGGACCUUAGGGCCUCUUGCCAUCGGAUGUGCCCAGAUGGGAUUAGCUAGUAGGUGGGGUAACGGCUCACCUAGGCGACGAUCCCUAGCUGGUCUGAGAGGAUGACCAGCCACACUGGAACUGAGACACGGUCCAG
rnacentral:rRNA from 1 species